rnacentral:lncRNA from 1 species
GUUCACGCCGUUCUCUUGCCUCAGCCUCUCAAGAAGCUGGGACUACAGACACCCGCCACCACGCCUGGCUAUUUAUUUAUUUAUUUAUUUAUUUAUUUAUUUAUUUAUUUUUUAUUUUUAGUAGAGAUGGGGUUUCACUGUGUUAACCAGGAUGGUCUCGAUCUCCUGACUUCGUGAUCCGCUCACCUCGGCCUCCCAAAGUGCUGGGAUUACAGACAUGAGCCACCGUGCCCUGCCUUAAAACAUUUUCUGAUUGACAAUUGGUUGAGUUUGUGUAAAGACCUUGGAUUGAUUAGAGAGGAAAUGUUCAGGUUAAGAUAAAAUAUUGUAGAGACCAAGGUUCUCUUGAAAUCUUAUAGUGGCUACCCUUAGAGAUAAUAGAUGACAAAUGUUUCCUAUUCAGACCUUUAAAAGGUGCUAAACUCUUACUUAAUCUUUUCAGGAUUGGGAGGCCUGGAAGAAAAAGAUCUGGCUAUGUUAAUAGAGAUUCUUUACAGAUGCACCUGUCCCUCCACCAAGGACAACUUUGCAGGACCAUUUCAAGAUACAGCAAAGAAACAUGUUUUGGGAUGAAGAAACCAUCACACGAAUAUACUGUAAAUAAAUUACCCUGUGGACACUCCGAUUUCUGAGAAGGACCGUCUGAUCUCAUUGUCUAUGUGCUUCUUUAUCUCCAUGUAGACCGUCUACCAACAGGAAUAGACUGGUAUGCCAGUUUGCUUUAUCAGC